UGUACUUUUUAAAGUAUGAAAGAGACAACCGAGCAUAAAAUAAAAAGAGAGAUUCUUCUCUUGAGUUCAAGAAAAAAUGAUGAGAAAAAAGGAAUAAAAGAAGUAAAGGGCAACAAUUCCAAAGGAACGAGACCCCUGUUCCACAAAUCGAGUAUUAACUCGUAAAUUCGCUCGAGUUUAUGUUUUUAGGUGGCAAAAACGUGUAAACUCGGAGGUAAACUCGGUUUUUGGUGAAAUCGGAAAGUUUGACGAGUUUGACCGAGUUAACACGUGUUAAACUCAGAAUAAACUCGUCCGAGUUUACCUUUGAAUUUUUUUAUUUUUUUAUUUUGGUUAUUUUUUUGUCUUAUUUUCUUUCAAAAUCCAAUUCUUUUUUAAUCCCAAAGUGCUGAAAUGUUGCCUUUACGGUUAACAUAACUCGUUUUUUCAUACUUGUUACGUAUAGAAGCUACGUCAAUGUGUGACAAUGACAUACAUUGAAUUUUAAGGAAUGCAUGCAGAAGCUUGUUAUUAUUAAUUGAUUUGAAAUCAUUCAAAUAUAUUACUUGCUCAAGUAUUUAAAUGAGAAAAUGGAACAAUUGAAGUUAGAGUUUAAAUAGAGUUUAAAUAGCUAAAACAGAGUUUAAAUAUACCGAUAAACAGAGUUUAAAUAUACUCAUUGAAUUUUAUGAGUCGAGUUUACAUAGCUAAAACAGAGUUUAAAUAUACCGAUAAAUUUUGUUUUUUAUUGUUAGAGUUUAUUAUUCAAAUGUGGUUAAUUGGUUAAGUUUUGUUUAAAUAUUAGCUUACAUAUGUUUUAUAUAUAUAAUAAAUUUUAUAUAAUUUAAUUUUAGGUAAACUCGUACGAGUUUAUGAGUCGAGUUUACAUAGCUAAAAUGAGUUGAGGUAAAAUCUUGAGUUGUAAAACAUUGAACGAGACACAAAAGCUCAAGUGGAAUACACAUCAAAAGUAAAAAACAAUAUAAAAGUGGCUUGGUUCAUAUUUUAGAUGGUCAUCAAUUUG
rnacentral:lncRNA from 1 species